UGGGGUGUGGUUCAGUGUAGAGCACUUGCCUAGCAUGUGAGAGGACCUGGGUUCAAUCCUCAGCACCACAU
rnacentral:tRNA from 1 species